CGCCUGAAUACGGUCCAGCUCACGGGCAUCAUUUAUAAAGUGAUCAAUUGGAAUAGACGAGGAGCAGGGCUGGACUGGUAAUCUGGCCUACCGGACGUUUUUCCGGUGGACCGACGCACUUAGGGGCCGAUCAGUGUGGACUGGCCAUCGGGAGAACCGAGCGGGCCGCUGUGUUGUCUGCGAUAAGCUAAACGAGCCGCCGCGUUAGCGAAUACUCUCCCCCAACAACUUUUGGGCCAGUUAUGUAAAAUCCCGGGCCGAUUUCUCUUUCCAGUCCAGCCCUGACAAGGAGCACAUGGAUAUUGUUGAAGUUAAACAAGUACAAGCUUGCCCAGAGUUUUCUUAAGCCGUUUGGAGUGUGAUGCAGCACAUGUUUCCUUGGCAAUGAAGUGGAGCCUGAUGUUUGUGCAGCUUUCUGCAAUGCACUGAGUAUGAAGAUGUGAUUGUUGUAUGGUUCUAGGUUGAACAUGUUUGCCUCAAGUUCCUUGAAUGCAGAACCACCAUGGAGAUGCAGAACCUUUGUGGGGACAGAGAUGGGCCUUGUGAGUGUGUGCUGUUGAAGAAAUCUCUCAGCUGUCUUGCAGACUUUCAGGACGCUGUCUGACGGUCUUAUAAAUCCACUUCAGGACUUCAUGUCGAUCAGUGUGUUCAUCUUGGGAAGAGCUCUCGACACUGAGUGCUGAUAAACAGGCUGAACGUCACUGCCUGAAAUGCCAGCAUAUCAGAAGAUGCUGCCUCCAGUGUCACUGUGAUAUCCGGUGGAGAACUGUUGCCACUAGCUCUGAUGGCAUGUCUUGCUACCAUUCUUUUGAAAGCUGAAUAAUGUGGGAUUGUUGUUAAAUCCAUUAGCAGAUUUGUUCCCACAUAUCUGCAAAUUUUUAUUGUAUUGUUCAGUUUAAGUACAUUUUUGUA